GGACAACCUACCCUAAGGAGGGGGAUAACCCCGGGAAACUGGGGAUAAUACCCCAUAGACUAUGGAUGCUGGAAUGCUCUGUAGUUGAAAGGUCCGCCGCCUUAGGAUGGGUCUGCGGCCGAUUAGGUUGUUGUUGGGGUAACGGCCCAACAAGCCUGUAAUCGGUACGGGUUGUGGGAGCAAGAGCCCGGAGAUGGAUUCUGAGACACGAAUCCAGGCCCUACGGGGCGCAGCAGGCGCGAAAACUUUACAAUGCGAGAAAUCGUGAUAAGGGAACUCCGAGUGCCCGUAAAAUCGGCUGUUAAUCUGUUUAAAUAACAGGUUGAGAAAGGGCCGGGCAAGACCGGUGG
rnacentral:rRNA from 1 species